ensembl:lncRNA
UGUGGGACUGGGUGCGUCCUCCCUACCAGGUCACAGUCAAGUGACGGUCUGGGAGAAGUAGUGUGGGACUGGGUGCGUCCUCCCUACCAGGUCACAGUCAAGUGACGGUCCGGGAGAAGUAGUGUGGGACUGGGUGCGUCCUCCCUGCCAGGUCACAGUCAAGUGACGGUCCGGGAGAAGUAGUGUGGGACUGGGUGCGUCCUCCCUGCCAGGUCACAGUCAAGUGACGGUCCGGGAGAAGUAGUGUGGGACUGGGUGCGCCCUCCCUACCAGGUCACAGUCAAGUGACGGUCCGGGAGAAGUAGUGUGGGACUGAUGCGUCCUCCCUGCCAG